AUCGGAUUGAUACUAAGCCAUGCGAGUCUUUGUAGUAAUACAAGGCAGACGGCUCAGUAACACGUAGUCAAUCUACCCUAUGGACGGGGAUAACCUCGGGAAACUGAGAAUAAUACCCGACAGAUCAUUAUACCUGGAAUGGUUUAUGGUUCAAAUGAUUUUUCGCCGUAGGAUGGGACUGCGGUCUAUCAGCUUGUUGGUGAGGUAAUGGCCCACCAAGGCUAUAACAGAUACGGGCUCUGAGAGGAGAAGCCCGGAGAUGGGUACUGAGACACGGACCCAGGCCCUAUGGGGCGCAGCAGGCGAGAAAACUUUGCAAUGUGCGAAAGCACGACAAGGUUAAUCCGAGUGUUUUCUGCUAAAGAAAUCUUUUGUUAGUUCUAAAACCACUAUCGAAUAAGGGGUGGGCAAGUUCUGGUGUCAGCCGCCGCGGUAAAACCAGCACCUCAAGUGGUCAGGAUGAUUAUUGGGCCUAAAGCAUCCGUAGCCGGCUAUGUUAGUUUUCGGUUAAAUCCAUGUGCUCAACACAUGGGCUGUCGAGAAUACUGCUUAGCUAGGGAGUGGGAGAGGUAGACGGUACUCGGUAGGAAGGGGUAAAAUCCUUUGAUCUAUCGAUGACCACCAGU
rnacentral:rRNA from 1 species